rnacentral:rRNA from 1 species
GACGAGGGAUCCUAGCGUUGUUCGGAAUCACUGGGCGUAAAGCGUUUGUAGGCGGCUCUAUAAGUCGGGUGUGAAAUCCCACGGCUCAACCGUGGAAGUGCAUUCGAAACUGCAGAGCUUGAAUAUGGUAGAGGAGAGUAGAAUUCCUGGUGUAGUGGUGAAAUACGUAGAUAUCAGGAGGAAUACCGGUGGCGAAGGCGGCCAUCUGGACCGCAACUGACGCUGAGGCGCGAAAGCGUGGGGAGCAAACAGG